AUUGAACGCUGGCGGCAGGCCUAACACAUGCAAGUCGAACGGUAGCACAGAGAGCUUGCUCUCGGGUGACGAGGGGCGGACGGGUGAGUAAUGUCUGGGAAACUGCCCGAUGGAGGGGGAUAAUUACUGGAAACGGUAGCUAAUACCGCAUAACGUCGCAAGAACAAAGUGGGGGACCUUCGGGCCUCACACCCGCGGAUGUGCCCCGGUGGGAUUAGCUAGUAGGGGGGGUAAUGGCUCACCUAGGCCACGAUCCCUAGCUGGUCUGAGAGGAUGACCAGCCACACUGGAACUGAGACACGGUCCAGACUCCUACGGGAGGCAGCAGUGGGGAAUAUUGCACAAUGGGCGCAAGCCUGAUGCAGCCAUGCCGCGUGUAUGAAGAAGGCCUUCGGGUUGUAAAGUACUUUCAGCGGGGAGGAAGGCGGUGAAGUUAAUAACUUCACCGAUUGACGUUACCCGCAGAAGAAGCACCGGCUAACUCCGUGCCAGCAGCCGCAGUAA
rnacentral:rRNA from 1 species